UGGGGAAUUUUGCACAAUGGGGGAAACCCGGAGGCAGCGACGCCGGGGGAUUUAGAAGGCCUUCGGGUUGUAAAAACCUUUUCUAUGGGAAGAAAAUGACAGAACAAUAGGAAUAAGGACCGGCAAAUUACGUGCCAGCAGCCGCGGUAAUACGUAAGGUCCGAGCGUUGUCCGGAAUCAUUGGGCGUAAAGGGUACGUAGGCGGGUAAGCAAGUUGGAAGUGAAAUCCUGUAGCUCAACUACAGUAAGCUUUUAAAACUGCUCAUCUUGAGAUAUGGAAGGGAAAGUGGAAUUCCUAGUGUAGCGGUGAAAUGCGCAGAUAUUAGGAGGAAUACCGGUGGCGAAGGCGACUUUCUGGCCAUAAUCUGACGCUGAGGUACGAAAGCGUGGGUAGCAAACAGG
rnacentral:rRNA from 1 species